AAUCAACGCUGGCGGCGUGCCUCAGACAUGCAAGUCGAACGCGAAAGUUUCCUUCGGGGAGCGAGUAGAGUGGCGCACGGGUGAGUAACACGUAGGUAAUCUACCUUCGGAUGGGGAAUAACAAUCGGAACGGUUGCUAAUACCGCAUAAUGCAGCGGCACCUAAUGGUGACAGUUGUUAAAGCGGGGAUCGUAAGACCUCGCGUCUGAAGAGGAGCCUGCGGCGGAUUAGCUUGUUGGUAAGGUAAUGGCUUACCAAGGCGACGAUCCGUAACCGGCCUGAGAGGGCGGUCGGUCACACUGACACUGACAUACGGGUCAGACUCCUACGGGAGGCAGCAGUCGGGAAUUUUGGGCGAAUGGGCGAAAGCCUGACCCAGCAACGCCGCGUGAAGGAUG
rnacentral:rRNA from 1 species